rnacentral:rRNA from 1 species
UACGAAGGGGGCUAGCGUUGCUCGGAAUCACUGGGCGUAAAGCGCACGUAGGCGGAUUGCUAAGUCAGGGGUGAAAUCCUGGAGCUCAACUCCAGAACUGCCCUUGAUACUGGCGGUCUCGAGUCCGGGAGAGGUGAGUGGAACUGCGAGUGUAGAGGUGAAAUUCGUAGAUAUUCGCAAGAACACCAGUGGCGAAGGCGGCUUACUGGUCCGGUUCGUGACGCUGAGGCGCGAAAGCGUGGGGAGCAAACAGG